rnacentral:rRNA from 1 species
GAUGAACGCUAGCUACAGGCUUAACACAUGCAAGUCGAGGGACCGGCGCACGGGUGAGUAACACGUAUCCAACCUGCCCUUUACUCGGGGAUAGCCUUUCGAAAGAAAGAUUAAUACCCGAUAUAAAGGAUGGGGAUGCGUUCCAUUAGGUUGUUGGUGAGGUAACGGCCCACCAAGCCUUCGCUGGCUAGGGGUUCUGAGAGGAAGGCCCCCCGCAUUGGAACUGGGACACGGGCCAAACUCCGACGGGAGGCAGCAGUGAGGAAUAUUAGUCAAUGGGCGUUAGCCUGAACCAGCCAAGUAGCGUGAAGGAUGAAGUGUUAUGGGUCGUAAGCUUCUUUUAUAUAAGAAUAUGUAUUAUAUGAAUAAGGAUCGGCUAACUCCGUGCCAGCAGCCGCGGUAAUAC